rnacentral:rRNA from 1 species
CCUACGGGAGGCAGCAGUGAGGAAUAUUGGUCAAUGGACGCGAGCCUGAACCAGCCAAGUAGCGUGCAGGAUGACUGCCCUACGGGUUGUAAACUUCUUUUAUACAGGAAUAAAUUGAGACACGUGUGCCUUUUUGUAUGUACUUUAUGAAUAAGGAUCGGCUAACUCCGUGCCAGCAGCCGCGGUAAUACGGAGGAUCCGAGCGUUAUCCGGAUUUAUUGGGUUUAAAGGGAGCGUAGAUGGGUUGUUAAGUUAGUUGUGAAAGUUUGCGGCUCAACCGUAAAAUUGCAAUUGAUACUGGCAGUCUUGAGUACAGUUGAGGUAGGCGGAAUGUGUGGUGUAGCGGUGAAAUGCUUAGAGAUCACGAAGAACUCCGAUUGCGAAGGCAGCUUACUAAACUGCCACUGACAUUGAGGCUCGAAAGUGUGGGGAUCAAACAGGAUUAGAUACCCUUGUAGUC